rfam:Salmo salar isolate Sally breed double haploid chromosome ssa14, whole genome shotgun sequence.
CCAUGCCAGGAUUGUAAGUCUCUUUGGAUAAAAGUGCCUGCUAAAUGGCAUAUA